AUGACCUGAGCUGAAGGCAGAGGCUUAACUCACUGAGCCACCCAGGCGCCCCUCGAAUAGUACUUUUGCUACUAAAGUUAAUGUGUUUACUCUUUCCUUUUCACUUUUAAUUAAAAGUGAGCUAAUUCUCCCAGCUAUUUUUGAUUGAUUAACAGGAAAUCUUAAAUUCAAACUGUUAAAGAACAGUUUGAUUUUUUUGUGGCUAUCCUUAAGGAUGGGACACAUCUUGUUUUAUUGACUUUCUUUCAGUAUCCUAGAUGAUGUUUGUUUUUUGUUUUGUUGAUCCAAGUUUUAUAAUAGCACAAAUCUAAAUUACAGAGUAGCUAGAAAAGUUUAUAAAUGCUUGUAGAUUGACAAGUGCCACCCCAGGAUGAAUUACUUGUCACCUUUUUUUUCUGUGUUGUGAAAAACAACCCAUAGUGCAGGUUUUUCAUGAAUGGUGACUGCUGCUUAGCUUACUACUACUCAGUUAUUUUAUAACAACAGAGCAAAAUCUAUGCUCACUUGAAGAAUGGAAUCAUUAAGCAGUUACACGGGAGGAUUCUGAAAUAGUAAAUUAUGACUGUAAAAAUUUAGGGCUGGUGAAAAAAAUCAACCCUAAGUGAUGAUAAUUUUGUAUAAUGUUAUAUAAAAAGCUCUGAGAACUGUAUGAUAUUAUUUAUUUUCUCCUUUUCUUUAUCUUAUUUUAUUUUGCUUUAAUUUACUUCCUUACUUUGUGGGAGGGAAGAUUGGGUAUGGGGCAAAGAAAUACCAAAACUAACAAUAUGAAACUAACUUUGUUUUUUCCUUUAUACUGUAUAGAAAACAAACUUUCUAAGUGGGCUUCAGAAAGAAGAGUGCUUUUUAAAGUGUUUAAUAUCCCCAGUGUCUUUCCAAUCCCAAGCUAGAGCAGCAUUUAUUCAAAAUGUACAAAACUUCUGAAAGUUUAGUUGCCCUUCUCCCCCAUCUUUAUAGUCUAAUAUUUUCGGGUUUUACUGACUGGGACAAAAGUGUUCUUUCUUUUAACAAACUGGAAUUUUCAGAUGGGUUACCUGUAUUUAAACAUGCUGAACUUUGAUUUUUUUGAGUAUUUUUAAAAUAAUUUGUACAAUUUACACAUGAACCUUGAUUCUGAAUUCAUUCUGUACCUGUCUUAUUUUGUCUAUUACACUGAAAAGUAGUUUUAAUACUUAAUUUUGAAACUAAAAGUUAGAUUUAAGGUUUAUGCUAUCUUUAACUCACAUUUUCUACUUUUCUCCAUAAUUCAACCUUUGAAAAUAACAUAUUUUUUCCAAACAGUUGGCUUGGAUGAUAUUCCAUAAGUGUAAUGAAGAAGUGGUUAAAAACUCAUGGAAAGUCUUUUCCAGUAAAACUUGUAGCUUGUGUCUUGGCUAAAUAUUAUUCAGGGGUUAAUAUGACCCUGUUGUUCAGUAUCUUCUUCCUAAAGAUAACUUUUGUAUUGUAAUUUAUUUUUUAUUGUGCCUUAAACACAUAUGUAAAUAACCUUUAGUAAUAAAGAAUUAUCAGUUAUA